rnacentral:lncRNA from 1 species
AUAUAACUGUUAUAAUUUAAAGCUUGCUCUAGACCUCAACUUGUGGGAUGAAAACUUGAUCUGAAGUCUAAGUUGUUAACGGAUACGAUAUGGGAAGGUUGAGCUGCUGUUUAUCUGUUCCUAGAGAUGCUAGAAUUCUGGAGAAUUUUAUCUUUAAAAAUCUUUAAAAUGUUGCAUGAUGAGUUCCUGUAUGAUGAGAGUUUAAAUUCCUACCACAGCCAUAUAUACAUGCUUGCUAGACUUUGAGCCACACAUUUACUAUUUACUGCUUAUGAGCAUUGAGUGUGGUCAAGCUGUGUAGACCCUUAGGAGCUUGUCAUGUGGUUAAAUCAAGAUUCACUUGCACGUUCACUCACAUAUGUUGCUUCUACUCCGGAAGUACCAUCCACAUAUAUCCAUCCAUUUCCAUCUCCAGAACCACCCAAAAAUAUUCUACUCCUAAUCCGGGAGAGAAUGACAAAAAAAAUAUAUUUCUAUUUGUCCCUUGUGAAAUAAAUGCUCAAGUUAUCUUAUUACUACCACUUGCUAUAUUAUCUCAAGAGAUGAGUGCUCUAAAAAAAGAAGAAAAGAUACGAGGAAAUAAAAAGGGGCAAGUGCCCGGAACCUCGAAAGAAAAGAAAAAGUGAGACGAGAGGUAAAAAUGGACAAGUGUCCGACAGUAAAAUUAGGGGUACAAGAUACCCACCUGAGAGAAAAGAAAAAUAUAGAGCAUCUCAUUCUCCUCACAAAAAUUUCAAAAAGCAAGGAAGGUAUGUAUCCCCUCAAAGAGCAAAAGUAGAAUUAGACUUUCACCAUUGUCAUCACUAUACACCAUUCAUUCGCCACACAUGCACAUCUUGAUUUGACUUAUUGAUUUGUUUCUUUGGAUCCAUGGUUUGACUAUACAAUAACUGUCUUGUAAGUAUGUAUAAUUUAUCUCCCACCUAUGAGCUCCAGAUAUUAAAGCCUUGUUAGAGUAGGAUGAGAGAGAAGGCAAUGUCACUAUGCCUUAUACCAUACAUACCACAUACUUUUUGAGAGAAGGCAUAUACCAUCACUGCCUUGGUAAGGAUCCAGAAAUACCACAAAAGAGAGAUUUGAGAGAAUCAUACAAGGAAUCUCUGAGUUUUAUUUGAAAAUCUGCAAAAACUCCAGAGCUAUAGCUGAUCAAGAAUAAGAGACAUGGCAC